GUCGUGGUGGCCGAGUGGUAAAGCGCUUGGCUUCCGAACCAAGGGGUCCCGGGUUAAAAUCCUGGUGAAGACU
rnacentral:tRNA from 1 species